rnacentral:rRNA from 1 species
AUGGCGAAAGAGCGCUCUGCGGGGGACCAGAUAGCGGCUUGGUUCGACCCCAAGGCGCGCGACAUGGGAGACGAGGACAUGGCGGCCUUCUUCGCCGCGCUGAUGCAGAUGAAGGACGCCGUCUCCGAUGGCGCCAACCAGGUUCUUCUCGAGGCGAUGCACGCCCACAUGAGCCGCAUGGCGGAGGUGGCCCCGCCGCCGCCGCCGCCCCAGAUCUUCGGUGGUAACACCUUCGAGUUCGGUAGCAGCAGCGGCACCGCCAACGACGGGAUGGAGUUCCAGUUUCUGGGGCCUCCACCACAGGAGCAGGGGUUCGAGGCCCGGAUGGAUAUGCAGCAGAUGGUGAUGGCGCCGCUGCCUCCGUCUCACGUGGUCGCCGCCGGGAUGGAUGUGCAGGACAUGCCUCCGCCGCCGGGGUUGGCCGCCGGGAUGGAUCUGGAGCAGAUGCAGAUGACGAUGCCUAAGCCGCCGGGGUUCGACGCAGGGCUAGACAAGGAGAUAGAUCAAUGGCUUGAUGUGAUGCUGCCGCGUCCGGAGUUCACUGCCGGGAUGGAGACGGUGCAGCAGGGGCUCCAUCAACCCAACGCCGGCUUCCCGUACUGA